AAUUACAACAAUCUGAAUCUUUCAUAUUCCCUUCGAAAUUCACGUCUUCCUUCGAUUCACAGAUAUCUUCAUCAAUGUCUGAUUUUUAGCGGAGGUUAUCAUGAUCGUCUUUAAAAGCUCUAAGUUCUAAUCAAGCUUCUUUUUCUCCCAAUCCCUAUCUUUUUUUAUUUCAUUGGUUCAGAUCCGAACACUACAUUCAAUAAAAUUGAAUUCGCUGUUGAAUUCGAAUUCUAUCUCUCUGCUCAUCAUUUGGAGAGGCAUUGUUCUUCUUCACACAAGUAAGAGUGACUUCAAAGUUCAAUCUCUCUCUCUUUCGAGAGUUUAGUUGGCCGAUUAAUCGUCUAGCCUUGUUGAUUGUCAGAAUCGGGUAGACUAAGAUAGAGCUGGAUCCAAAGAAGUAUGUUGAGCUACCUGAAAAAAUUGAAGCUGAAGCUGAUGAGGUUUUAGUAGCUCUAUAUCAGAUGGUGGAGAAUGACAGGAAGAGGAAUGUGAACAGAGAGGCUCUUACAGCACUUACGAAGAAAGCUCGGACAACAAAGACUAGCGUUCCUUCUCCUUUCAAUUCUAUGAUGAAAGAUGUCCGUGGGAGCUCAACGGAACAACCUAUGGUCAAAGAAGUUUGCUCGAUAUGUGGAUCCCAUGGCUCUAGUGAACCCACAUGGAUGAUUCUCCCAUGAGCUGAUCUUUUCGCUGCAGUAUCGUUUCAUGUUGUGCACACAAGAGCUUAAUGAAGGAAAAGACUCUUUGCUUAUCAGAACUUGUGGCUCUUGGUGAUAGUAUUCCUCCAGGCAUUAUCAGAUCGUUGGUCACGUUAGAGGACAAACCUAAAGUUAAAUAGAAC